rnacentral:rRNA from 1 species
GAACGAACGCUGGCGGCAUGCCUAACACAUGCAAGUCGAACGAGACCUUCGGGUCUAGUGGCGCACGGGUGCGUAACGCGUGGGAACCUGCCCUUAGGUUCGGAAUAACUCCCCGAAAGGGGUGCUAAUACCGGAUAAUGUCUUCGGACCAAAGAUUUAUCGCCUUUGGAUGGGCCCGCGUUGGAUUAGCUAGUUGGUAGGGUAAAAGCCUACCAAGGCGACGAUCCAUAGCUGGUCUGAGAGGAUGAUCAGCCACACUGGGACUGAGACACGGCCCAGACUCCUACGGGAGGCAGCAGCGGGGAAUAUUGGACAAUGGGCGAAAGCCUGAUCCAGCAAUGCCGCGUGAGUGAUGAAGGCCUUAGGGUUGUAAAGCUCUUUUACCCGGGAUGAUAAUGACAGUACCGGGAGAAUAAGCGCCGGCUAACUCCGUG